AAUGAACGCUGGCGGCAGGCCUAACACAUGCAAGUCGAACGCACCUUUCGGGGUGAGUGGCGGACGGGUGAGUAACGCGUGGGAAUAUGCCCUUUGGUACGGAAUAGUCCUGGGAAACUGGGGGUAAUACCGUAUGUGCCCUUCGGGGAAAGAUUUAUCGCCAAAGGAUUAGCCCGCGUUGGAUUAGGUAGUUGGUGGGGUAAUGGCCUACCAAGCCGACGAUCCAUAGCUGGUUUGAGAGGAUGAUCAGCCACACUGGGACUGAGACACGGCCCAGACUCCUACGGGAGGCAGCAGUGGGGAAUCUUAGACAAUGGGGGAAACCCUGAUCUAGCCAUGCCGCGUGAUCGAUGAAGGCCUUAGGGUUGUAAAGAUCUUUCAGAUGGGAAGAUAAUGACGGUACCAUCAGAAGAAGCCCCGGCUAACUCCGUG
rnacentral:rRNA from 1 species